rnacentral:rRNA from 1 species
CCAAUAGCGUAUAUUAAAGUUGUUGCAGUUAAAAAGCUCGUAGUUGAAUUUCGGGGUCUGUCCGUCGGUCGGGCUUCACGGUCCGUACUGGUGUGAUAGGUUCCUACCUUCUGAAUAACCGGCAUGCCAUUCAGUUGGUGCGCCGGGGAAGCAGAGCUAUUACCUUGAAAAAAUUAGAGUGCUUAAAGCAGGCUAGUGCUUGAAUAGAUUAGCAUGGAAUAAUAAAAUAGGACGGCAUGGUUCUAUUUUGUUGGUUUCUAGGAUCACCGUAAUGAUUAAUAGGGAUAGUUGGGGGCAUUAGUAUUCAAUUGUCAGAGGUGAAAUUCUUGGAUUUAUUGAAGACUAACUUCUGCGAAAGCAUUUGCCAAGGAUGUUUUCAUUAAUCAAGAACGAAAGUUAGGGGAUCGAAGACGAUCAGAUACCGUCGUAGUCUUAACCAUAAACUAUGCCGACUAGGGAUCGGACGAUGUUAAUUUUUUAAUGACUCGUUCGGCGCCUUACG